rnacentral:lncRNA from 1 species
GGAAGGCUCUACACCACUCUCUCACUUGAGAGUUCCAGAUGUGGCUGGAAGAGUGGUGACGGACAACAGUCGAGGGCAUCUUCACUCAGUAGUGAGCACGUAGGAGCUCAUCUUCAUGGAGCAGCUGGAGUUCAUCUAUACAAGUUUGGAACUGCGGAGUCCAUCCACAGCGACCAAGGUAGAAACUGAGUCCCGUGUGUUCGCUACCAUGUGUGAGGCGCUUCAACAAAACGCUUGGACAGCAGCUGGCCAUCGUCUCUGCCAAACACCAGUGUGACUGAGACAAGCACCUGUCCAUGGUCCUCAUGGCAUGCCACUCCACCUCCUGCACGCCUGCCCUCCUGCUGGCGAGAGAGAUCCGCACCUGUGCAGAGAUGGCGUUUGGUCGGCCCCUGUGUAGCCCUCUUGUUCCCCCGGGGCUGGAGUACGCCCGGAGACUCCAGGACCGCCUGGAGACAGCCCAAACCUUAGCCACAGAGCAGCUGGUGACUGCAGGAGUGAGGCAGAAGAGGAACGAUGACGUGCACACCCAGGGAAGGCACUUUGUGGCAGGGGAGCUGGUCUGCGUCUACAGCCUCCUAAGCAAGAAAGGCAGAUUACCCAAGUUGGACAGCCACUGGUUGAGGCCCUGGAGAGGGUAGGGGACUGUACCAGGUGCAGCUUUCUUGCAGGGGGAGAAAGUCGGCACUGCACCGGGACAGGUUAGUCUUCUCCUUGAACCCCCACAACAUUCCCCAAGCACCCACACCCAGGUGCCGCAGACAAGGCUCCAGAAGGCCCACUCACUGUCUUCCUCCCUGUGUCACUGAGUGGUCCCCGGGGCCAUGGAGUGUAUCCCAUUCCCUCAUUCUUGUCCCCCAUGUCCCUGCCUUCAUCCCCUGGGUCCUAGAGGAGCAGCCCCCUACCAGACUGAGCCCCCUGUUCCACAUCUGGACCCUCUGCUCCCAUCGCGGCCACACAGGUAAAGGAGACAUCCGUGGCACUUCAGAGACUGUUUGUUCCCUCAGGGAUGAGGGAAUUUGUGGUGGGGGGGCUGUGUAACGACCCGCACAGACCGCUGUGUGUUAUGAGUUAUGCUGUUCGUUUGUCGUACUUACCAGUACCCAGUGUUUGCAAGGUUGACUGGCAUGUCGGACCCAUCUGCCAACCACGGGAAUGCCUGGAAUGUUCCGGUGCCGGGCAUCCUUGUGGUUGGUGGAGCAGCAGGAGGGAGGGUUUGGCAGCGGGGUGGAGCACUGCAAGUUUAAGACCAUGCUUAGCCAUUGUUUUGUCUUAACAAGAGAUGGUCACUUUUUAUACUGUGAUCCUUGAUUUAUAUGGUGUGGGCUAUGGCUGAACAGUAGCUGGUGUUGGGUUAAUAAACUGGGAAUUUGUA